AGUAAGCCAGAUGGCCGCGGGCGCGCUUGCGUCCGAGGAAAGUCCGAGCUCCGCAGGGCAGGGUGCUGGGUAACUCCCAGUGAAGGCGACUUCAAGGAAAGUGCAACAGAGAGAUACCGCGAAUCCCCCUUUGGGGGGACGUAAGGGUGGAAAGGCGAGGUAAGAGCUCACCAGCGGCUUGGCGACUUGUCCGCUAUGUAAACCCCACCUGGUGCAAGGAAAUAGAGGGGCACAAUGUGGCGGCCCGUCACGCCCCCCGGGAAACCCGCUUGAGCGCGCUGGCAACCGCGCGCCUAGACAGAUGGCCAUCCAAUACAGAACUCGGCUUAUAGACUUGCUCGC
rnacentral:RNase_P_RNA from 1 species